CUCGCCUACAUGAAGUUGGAAUCGCUAGUAAUCGCGAAUCAGAAUGUCGCGGUGAAUACGUUCCCGGGCCUUGUACACACCGCCCGUCACACCACGAGAGUUUACAACACCCGAAGUCAGUGGCCUAACCGCAAGGAGGGAGCUGCCUAAGGUGGGGUAGAUGAUUGGGGUGAAGUCGUAACAAGGUACC
rnacentral:rRNA from 1 species